UGAGGAACAUGACUUUCGGUGGGGGAGUGUGCUCGCGGCCUAUCAGCUUGAUGGUGGGGUAAUGGCCUACCAAGGCGUCGACGGGUAGCCGGCCUGAGAGGGCGACCGGCCACACUGGGACUGAGACACGGCCCAGACUCCUACGGGAG
rnacentral:rRNA from 1 species